UUAAAAGAAAAUUGAUAUAAGUGUUGUCUAACCACUCUUAAUCUAUCUCUAACUCUUAUAACUAGUCAAAAUGCAUUGGAUUGUGACACAUUUUGACCACAAACACACUAACAAAACUGUUUACUGUUUCUAAGAAUUUUUUUGUUGGUUUUAGCCUCUUUUGAGAGAAAAUAAGGAUAAGUAUUGUCUAACAAUCUUAAUCUAUCUCUAACUCUUAUAAUUAGUCAAAU
rnacentral:sRNA from 1 species